ensembl:miRNA MIR1225 microRNA 1225
AGAGGGACGCACCCUGGGCCCAGCAGAGCCCAGGGCGCAGCCGGACUGACCGAGCCCCUGUGCCGCCCCCAG